UUGUAAACCGUGGCCAGCACCCGUGAUAUACUGUGUGUUGCAAGAGUUAUCCGAAUUUAUUUGUGUUAAAUGGUCGUGAGGCGGAUCUAUAAGGCAGUGGUGAAAUCUCACAUCUUAACUGUGAAACUGCCGUUGAUACUGUAGGUCUUGAGUAAAUUUGAAGUGGCUGGAAUAAGUAGUGUAGCGGUGAAAUGCAUAGAUAUUACUUAGAACACCAAUUGCGAAGGCAGGUCACUAAGAUUUAACUGACGCUGAGGGACGAAAGCGUGGGGAGCGAACAGGAUUAGAUACCCGAGUAGUC
rnacentral:rRNA from 1 species